UGUGUAGGUGGCGCGCUAAGUCGGGUGUGAAAUUUCGGAGCUUAACUCCGAAACUGCAUUCGAUACUGGCGUGCUUGAGGACUGGAGAGGAGACUGGAAUUCAUGGUGUAGCAGUGAAAUGCGUAGAGAUCAUGAGGAAGACCAGUGGCGAAGGCGGGUCUCUGGACAGUUCCUGACACUGAGACACGAAGCCAGGGGAGCAAACG
rnacentral:rRNA from 1 species